rnacentral:rRNA from 1 species
GACAGAGGGUGCAAACGUUGUUCGGAAUUACUGGGCGUAAAGCGCGUGUAGGCUGCUCCGCAAGUCGGAUGUGAAAGCCUGGGCUCAACCUAGGAAGUGCAUUCGAAACUUCGGAGCUGGAGUCCUGGAGAGGAAGGCGGAAUUCUCGGUGUAGAGGUGAAAUUCGUAGAUAUCGAGAGGAACACCGGUGGCGAAGGCGGCCUUCUGGACAGUGACUGACGCUGAGACGCGAAAGCGUGGGGAGCAAACAGG